GCGAACCACCCCAUAUCACCCGCAAGGUGAUCCACAACCUGAAAGGUUCAAUAGAACUCUGCUGUCUAUGCUUGGCACAUUAAACCAAGGGAAAAAACGCAGCUGGAGUCAGCAUGUGAGUUAUUUAGUCCAUGCCUACAACAGUACCAAGUGUGACAGCACCGGAUACUCGCCAUACUACUUAAUGUUUGGGCGUGAGGCUAGGCUCCCUGUGGAUCUGUGUUUUGGAACUUCGCCAGAGGGAGUGGAAGAUGCUUGUCAGGAACGGUAUGUUAUGCAAUUGAAAAAAGAUUUACAAGAGGCCUACAAACUUGCAACUGAAGUGUCUGACAAAAGACACUUGAGGAAUAAGCGACUGUAUGACAAGACAGUGAGAGUUCAGUCUCUUGAGGUUGGGGACCGAGUGCUGUUACGGAAUCUUGGACUGCGAGGGAAACACAAGCUGGAGAGCAGGUGGAACCCAUGCCCAUAUGUCAUAGUGGGGAAGAUGCCUAAUCUCCCUGUUUUCCAGAUACAGCGAGAGGAUGGAAUAGGGGUGGUCAAGACCAUCCACAGGGACCAUCUACUCCCCAUAAAUACCCUUGUGAGGAUGCCUGGACUAGACCUCGAAGAGGAAUUGACUCAUAAACCAAGGACGAGAGCAGACACCCGCCUUAGGCAAAUGGCGAAGACCCAUGAGACUCCGAAUGCUGGGAAAGAGGGACAGGAGUUAUCUGAUUCUUCUGAUUCAGAUUACUUUAUAGCACAGAGAUCUCAAGACGGUCGGGAAGAGUUGCCGAGAUGGUAUAGGGAUCCUCCAAAUCCUGGAGUCUUUCUACCAAGUGAUGAUGAUACUACACAGAUUGAGGCACCGGCAUCAUCAGAGUGUGAGCCGGAACCAGUUGAAGUAAUUCCCAGCCAAACCGAUCAGGAAAGGGUGUCUGAAGAAUCAGGUAGUGCUGAAGGGGAGCCUAAGUUAGUCAGCACACCGAUACCUAGAGUGGUUAGACAGUCCCAAAGAUCCCCCAGGUCAAAGGACCGAGUUACUAGUCCCAUGAAAUCGCGUCCCAGGAGAACUGUCAAACCAGUGGUUAGGUUAACCUAUGAUAAACCAGGAAGUUCCAGGGAUCAGGCUAUUACCAUAAUUCAUGGAGGAAUAACAAUUCAAAUAGGCCAUACUUAAAGGUGUACUAUUGGAGUAUGAUUUUCUUUAAAAUGGGCUGAUGAGGACACAGACAUUAUACCAGGGGG
rnacentral:lncRNA from 1 species